rnacentral:rRNA from 1 species
CCUACGGGGGGCUGCAGUGGGGAAUAUUGCACAAUGGGCGCAAGCCUGAUGCAGCCAUGCCGCGUGUGUGAAGAAGGCCUUCGGGUUGUAAAGCACUUUCAGCGGGGAGGAAGGCGUUAAGGUUAAUAACCUUGUCGAUUGACGUUACCCGCAGAAGAAGCACCGGCUAACUCCGUGCCAGCAGCCGCGGUAAUACGGAGGGUGCAAGCGUUAAUCGGAAUUACUGGGCGUAGAGCGCACGCAGGCGGUCUGUCAAGUCGGAUGUGGAAUCCCCGGACUCAACCUGGGAACUGCAUUCGAAACUGGCAGGCUAGAGUCUUGUAGAGGGGGGUAGAAUUCCAGGUGUAGCGGUGAAAUGCGUAGAGAUCUGGAGGAAUACCGGUGGCGAAGGCGGCCCCCUGGACAAAGACUGACGCUCAGGUGCGAAAGCGUGGGGAGCAAACAGGAUUAGAUACCCCAGUAGUC